rnacentral:rRNA from 1 species
AUGGGGAUGCAAUCAGUGUGCGGAGGAGCAGGGCGGUGGCGGCGAGCAGUGGCGUGGUGGGGGGCCGUCCUGGUCCUCGCCCAUUUACUCAGCUGCGGCAGCGCGGGGCUCCUGGACACCAACCCGGGCUUGGCCUAUAACUUCUACGCGACGACGUGCCCCAGCGCCGAGGCCACCGUCCGGAGCAUCACCUGGGCGCAGGUCGCCGCCAACCAGGCCCUCCCCGGCCAGCUCCUCAGGCUGCACUUCCACGACUGCUUCGUCAAGGGCUGCGACGCGUCCAUCCUGCUGGACAACGCGCAGAGCGAGAAGACGGCGCCGCCCAACGGCUCCCUCGGCGGCUACCCGGUGAUCGACGCCAUCAAGGCGCAGCUCGAGAAGGCCUGCCCGGGCGUCGUCUCCUGCGCCGACAUCGUCGCGCUCGCCGCCCGCGACGCCGUCUCCUACCAGUUCAAGGCCUCGCUCUGGCAGGUGGAGACCGGCCGCCGGGACGGCCCCGUCUCGCUCGCCAGCAACACCGGCGCGCUGCCCUCGCCCUCCGCCGGCUUCAACGGCCUGCUGCAGAGCUUCGCCGCCAAGGGGCUCGACGUCAACGACCUCGUCGCGCUCUCCGGCGCGCACACCAUCGGCAAGGCCAGCUGCUCCAGCGUCACGCCCAGGCUGUACCAGGGCAACGCCACCAGCAUCGACCCCCUGCUCGACUCCACCUACGCCAAGACGCUCAUGAACGCCUGCCCCAACAAUCCCGCUUCCACGUCCACGGUGGACCUGGACGGCGCCACGCCGUUCAAGUUCGACGGCAGCUACUACACCAACCUGCAGAACAAGCGGGGAGUGCUCGCCUCCGACGCCGCGCUCACGCAGAACGCCGCUGCCGCGACUAUUGUCAACGACCUGACCAACCCGAUCAAGUUCUACGCCGCCUUCUCCAUGUCCAUGAAGAAGAUGGGACGCGUCGACGUGCUCACCCUCAAGAACGGACAAGGGAAGAUCAGGACCAAGUGCAAUGUGCCGUGA